rnacentral:lncRNA from 1 species
AGUGCUUGAUCAGAAUGCAAAAGCCCUUUCUUGGACACCAAGUUACUAAAAUAUUUCGAGUCAAAAAGAGCAGAUGUAGGAUCUAGGGAAGCAAGAUUGGAAUCACCACCACUUCGCGGACAAUUUGCUUGACGUUGACUUGCAAAGGUAGAGUCGAUGUUGUUAGUCUCAUUAUAGAUGCGAUUCCUGAAGGUGAAACACUGAGCAAACCCUAGUGUGUGGCCACCGGAGAGAGCCACCAGGUCUUCCUCAUCCAAACCUUGCUUCUUAAAGUUGUCGAUAAGUGCAGGUAAGUCCAUCAACGGUGUUGGAAUGUCAUUAUUGGCAGUGGUUCUACUUGCUGUAGUCGAAUCCCUUCUUCCUAGUUCCACUUCCCAUGUUGGUCCAUGUAACUGUGUCAAUGUAACAAAAUACUUAUCAGUACACUAAAUUAACUUUAGCUUCUAUAUAUUAGGGGGAAAAAGGAGUAAUACGCACAGCAACAACGGAGUCACGAGCUGCAACAGCCAAGAUGUCCGCACAAGAUACAACUGAACGUCCACAAACUUUAUCAACUUCUGACUUAAUUCUAUCGAUCACCUCAAAUCCUCUUGCUGAAUUGUUAUUAGCACGAGCGGUCUUUUCACUGUCAAUAGUAGAUGUUUGAUCAAGAAGAAUGGAAGCGUCACAACCCUGCAUUUAUCAUUAUAAUAAUUAGUAACAACAUCUCAAGCAAUUACCAAACAUUGUUAACUAGCUAGGUGAGAAAGAAAUUAAACUGACAUUAACGAAACAAUCAUGAAAAUGUAAUCGUAGCAAAGAGGCACCCAUUCGCCUCUCUUGGCUGAUUGCAUCCUCAACAACCCGUUUAAUGGUUGGUAAAGCUUGGGGACAAAUAUCAUCAUAGAAAUCAUCUGACAAAUCCGAAAAAGCUAUGCGUGCUACACAAAAUAUGAUUAACACAUGAAGAAACACAAAGCUAGAACUUGAAGCCAUUUUUUUUUGUAGACUUUGUUUAUUGUGUUUAUGAUUUUGUGAUGAUGAGACUAAAAUGAAGGCUGUAUUUAUAGGUAAAAAAAUAAUGCUGAGUAUAGUAGUUGUAGGUUUAGCAACUCUCACAAGAAUGAGCAGCACUUUUGACAAUUUCUAACAACAAAAUAUUUAAUUGUCUAGUACGUUGAAAUAUUACAUGCAUGAAAAGUUCGGACAUAGAAAUUGAUAAUCAAUUAUUACAAAUUUGAGUGGGUCAUCGGUAUUAUAAUUAAAAGACUAUCAAAUAUCAACAUUGACUUGGCAAAUUAACCGUACUAAUUACGAAGUAUUUAUUAUAAACAAUAUAUGAUAUUGUUUGAAUAAAAAUGUACUCAAUUGAUAGUUUGGUCUAAAUAUAGUAUUGUUAUUAAUAGUUUGGUCCAAAAAUAUUUCUGUUUUUUCUUAAUGAGUCAAAAAUGUUAUAUUUUAAUUAAUAUAUUAUUUCUUUUCUUUUUAAAUACAUUCUUUUCCUAAUGAUUAUAUUUUUUUUAAUUAGAAAAAUGCUUAUCCUACUUCAAUUAGUAAAGAUAAAAGAAAAAAGAGUAAUUUAUAUUUUCUUUAAAAAAUUGGCGUUACCUAAAAAUGAAAAUUGAUGUUGGGAUUGCUUUGAUCUUAUAUAUAUAUGACCUAUGUUACAUGUCAAAUCUUUUAUAUGAAGUUAUUCUAUUGUAAUUGUUAAAAUGAGAUAAAGAAGACAGAAAAUUAUUUCCUUCUUAUUUAUUAGUUUAAGUGAACCUAUAAAGGAAAAUCAUAAACAAGAAUAUGGUUCUUUAAAAGUAAUAUUUUUAUUAGGAAUAAUAUAUUUUCUUUUUAAAAAAAGCUAGUAUAAUUAUCUGAAAAAAAAGACAUAUUUGAUCCAUUAAGUAAUUAUAGGGAUAUAAUUUAGACCAAACUAUUUACAUUACGGUAACAAUAUUUUUAUAGAAAAACUAAUAAUUAAGAUAUUAUUAUUCAGUUUCACAUAAUAUGAAAACAUUUUUGAUCCUUUUUUGUUAAUAAUAUUAUAAGUACCCACUCCAAUUCGAAGAAACCGUCAAAAUAUAAAAAUUAAAGACGAAUAACAACUCAACAUGGACUAUAUCUAUCAAAAAAACUCAUGUCAACGUUAAAAAUAAACAUCAUGCAAAUAAUUUAGUUAUAAUGAGGGUAACCAAUGCCUAUCAUUGUUGAUAAUGGUCUUUAUUAGUUCAUAAAGAAUAGAGUGAGUCUAAUUAAUUAUUGGCUCAUUCAUUAAUCAUUAUUUAUAUGGAACGUUAAUUCAAUAUUAAUCAAUUAAUGGCCAUGACCAUAACGAGUCUCACGCCGAAAAAUCUAUUAAACAAAAUAUUGAUGAAGAGAAGAUAUUUGAUCAGUAGAUCAACAACUAUGUUUGAAUAAUAAGUUUUUAUAUAUGUCUCUUUUAAUUUGUUUAUACUGAUUUUGUAGAAUGAAAUUUAUAUUAAUUAAACUUGGUCAGAAUGUAGCAAAAUUAUCUCCGCAAAAAAGGAAUUUUUUAAUCUUAAGAGAAAUAAUGUAUAAUUCAUUUGUACUGGUAGAUUUAAAAAAUCAAUAAAUAAUUUAUCACCUAAUUUCUAAUCACCCUUCUUGUUAACUACAGUUAUUUUUCAAAGUGCUGAAUCUAUUAUAUUUAAACGAUGAUAUAGUAAAAUCAUUAUUUUCUUUAUUCUUCAAAUAUCAAAUCAAUAGUAUCUAAGUUUGUAAGAGAAUACAAUCUACCUUCCUUAGAGUUGGUGUUGGGAUAUGAUUCAGGUGCUAUUUCUAUGAUAUUGCAUGUUAAAUUAGUCCACCAGGCCUAUAAUAUUAUCAAUUUGCAUAGUGCUUAUUAUUGAAAAGUAAUUUUUAAAAAAAGAAAGAAAAUUUGAUGUUAAUAUGUCGAUUCUCCAAUGAUAAUUAAAUUGUCAAAGUUGAGGGUUUGCAUGAAAUUAAUAUAUUAACUUGAGAGUAGUUAAUUUUAUUCAUGUUAGAACGAGUUCUAUAAUGUGGCUAUAUAGUUUCGAUUGGGACGAAAAGUUAAUAAUUUCACAUGGUGUGACUGUAAAAAGAUAUCACUAAAAUUUAUAGCAGUAACACUCGAAUAAUUUCCAUGUUGAUGUCCAUUUUUGAAGCCACAUUUGUUGUCUGCCAUCAUUCAUCAUCUGCAACUAUCAUUUUUGCGAUACAAGUUGAUUAAUUUGCAGUGUUGUUAAUUACAUUGUUCAUAACAUGGCUGGUGGCUCUAUUUUCUCCACCGGUAUGAAGCCGGACGACGUCCAAUGGGAAGGUGUGUAAGCACCAAACGAUCAGAAUUGAAAGGAGUUAGAAUUGUGUUACAACGUUCGUUUGUAUAUAUAGGGGAGUAAGCGUUUGGUAUGAAGUAAACUGAAAAAUAUUUUUUUUAAUUUUUUCAUGUUUGAUUGACUUAAUUUGCUCUCUAAACUAAUUUAUUUUUUUCAAAUUUAAGAAAAAUGACUUCCUCCAAAAAUUAAGAAAAAUAUUUAUCAAAAUACUUCCCAACCUAAAAUUUUAAUUUUUUUCAUAUCCUACUACAUCACAAAAAAUAUUUAAAAUUAUAAAGUACUUUUUCUUUUUGAAAAUUUAUACCCCUACCCUAAAACCAAACCCCCCCAAAAAAUUAAAAAUUUAUUUUUGUAUUCACACCUGACGUCCUACCCCCCCCCCCCCCCAAACAAAAAAAAGGAGUUAACUUGACCCUCCUACACAGCCCCUCCCCAGCAUUUUUUUUAGAAAAUAUAUUUCUUAUAUUUUUAAAAUAUUAAAAUCCUAUGGUCGGGUCCUAGUUCAGAAGUCAGAGUCGAAUUUUGAUUUGAAAGUCGAAUCUUGAGUCGAAAGUCGAGUCAAGUCCCGAUUUAGAAGUUGGGUCCUGCACAAAUUGUUGAUUGUUAGGGUCGGUUCUUGAUUUGAAAAUCCAGUUUCGAUUCGACUAUAAGAGUCGAAUCUCGAAUUGAUCGACCACGUCUAAGUUUGAAUAUCGAGGUUACGUCUUGGGUCGAUAUAUGGUCCCGAUUGGAGUCAAACCCAAUUUAAUGUUGGAUCCCAAGUCCAGGUUUGGAUCUCCGGUCAGAAGUCAGAUCCUAGGUCAGUAGUUGGGGUGGGGAGUAUGGUCGAGUCAUGCAGUCGUAUCUUGGUUUGAAAUUUGGGCCCUGGUUUGGGUGUCAGAUUUCAGAUCGGUGUUAGGUCUCAAGUUUGGGGUUCAAAUCAAGUCUUGAAUUAGACACGGGGUUGGGUUAGAGUAAGAGUUGGGGGUCAGGUCCUAGGUCCAAUGUCAAGAUCGGAUCUCAGAUCAGUCGUGCCGAGGUUGGGUCCUAGUUCGAAUAUCGAGUCACGGGUCGAAAGUCAAGUCCAAAUCCUGAGUCAGAUUCAAAUCUAUCAUUAGGGUCAUCUCUUAGUUUGAGUGUCGAGGUUGGUUCCUGAAUUGAUUAUCAUGGUUGGUUUUCGGGUUAAAUAUGACUUUCCCAAAAAAGUAUUUUAAUUCUACUCUGUAGUAAAAAAUAAAAGACAUAAUUUGUUAAAUAAUAUUUUCAUUCACCAACCAAACACUAAAAGUAUUUUCUACUCACUGACCAAACAUGAGAACAUAAGUUAGAAAUUUACUUAUUUUUUUAAAAAAUAACAACCCAUAGCAUCGGUAUUUUUUGAUAACUUGUGUAAUUAAUUUGUUUUAUAAUAUACUUUUCAAACAAUUUUGAAGAUAGUGAACCUCUAAUGAAAUAUUUACUAGAUUCAAACUCUUAAACAAACAAAUUUGAAAUUACCAUGCACCUCUCAAUGUUCUCCAAUCAAAACUGACUUAUAAGGCUUUUUAUUUAUUUUCUCAAAGUGCAUAUUUAGAUAAGUGAUAUUUAUCAUAUUUAAAAUUUAAAAAAUUAAAAUAAAUUUCUUUAACAUGCCUUUUUAACCACAGAGAAGAAGAGAAGAGAUAUCUUAUGCAACUUAGUUAUUAAUUUUUAACCAAACAACUCGGAAGAUAAUCAAUCUACUUGUUUAAACGGAAAGAGGAGUCCAUUCAUUCAAAAUAUUAUCUUUAUUCACUCGCCAAAUGAAAACAACAAGAUCCAAUUUCUUGGAAAAUUGAUGGCAGCACAAUUAACUUGACAAAGGUUACAAAUGAAUGAAAAUCACAACUACAAUUGAAAUACAAUCAAUUUUAGAAAAUACUUUAUUUUACCGGAAGCACGUGCUUAGUUCACUUUCCUGCAAUCGACACGAAUCUGGCCUUGAUUUCCGGUCAAUAGUUUGAUGUUACCCAUCUUAAGCAUAGACUUGGCAAAAUCUUUCGAAAAAGUCCUUAAGUCAGUACUGUAGGUUUUAACAAGCUCAUCAGUCUCUCCUCCGCUAAACAGUGCUUGAUCAGAAUGCAAAAGCCCUUUCUUGGACACCAAGUUACUAAAAUAUUUCGAGUCAAAAAGAGCAGAUGUAGGAUCUAGGGAAGCAAGAUUGGAAUCACCACCACUUCGCGGACAAUUUGCUUGACGUUGACUUGCAAAGGUAGAGUCGAUGUUGUUAGUCUCAUUGUAGAUGCGAUUCCUGAAGGUGAAACACUGAGCAAACCCUAGUGUGUGGCCACCGGAGAGAGCCACCAGGUCUUCCUCAUCCAAACCUUGCUUCUUAAAGUUGUCGAUAAGUGCAGGUAAGUCCAUCAACGGUGUUGGAAUGUCAUUAUUGGCAGUGGUUCUACUUGCUGUAGUCGAAUCCCUUCUUCCUAGUUCCACUUCCCAUGUUGGUCCAUGUAACUAUGUCAAUGUAACAAAAUACUUAUCAGUACACUAAACUAACUU